ACUAUGCCUGAGCGGGGUAAA
rnacentral:snRNA from 1 species